GUGACAGGCAGCGGGCAAAGUUUAAUCCAGUUCUUUGAUGUGGACAAGGAAGGCUGGGGAAGGCUGUGUGUGUGUGCUCAGGGGCCACCGGCUGGCUCACAAGGAGAAAUUCCAGGCACGCUUUGCGGGGUGCAGCCCCAUCCCAUGCUUAAAUCCUCAAAAUAACACCACGUGUGUUCACUGGAGGACACAAAGGCUCCAAGAACCCUUCUUCAGACGGCGGGUCGCUCUGGAGGCAGUGAGGAGGGCCGCUCUGCCCAGCCCGCAUCUUCUGGUCACCUGAGGACAAAGGCGUUAAGAUUCCCGGUUAGGCAGGGAUGCCUCUCAGCCACCCCCUCCUAAGGCCUCCAGGAAUUUUACAGUGUCAAGCGCAUCAGUGCCCUGGGCAGGUGUAAGGCUUAGUCACCCCAUAAAAUGAAGGGGGCACUUAAUCACCAAGAGGGCAAGCACUAGCCCCUGGUCACAUGGUGAGUGGGAGCCAGGACUCUGAACCUCAUUUGUUUAUUUCCCCAUGAGGGAAAACAGGUUCAGGGAGGCGACGGGGCUCACCCAUCCCGCGAGUCUAGCUUCUGGAAAGGACAGAGAUUUAGGAAGAGGGACCCGGAGCCCUGCCCUACGAACGCACUGCCUGCUGCUCUCCAGCCAGGGCCCCUUGGGUUCACACAGGCCAGCAGCAGUUCACUGUGACCCCACACCCAGCACCAUUUCCUACCUGGUCCGGACAGUCCAGCCCAGCAUCCCAGAGGUGAUAGCUGCAAUGGAGCCUGGCACUGGAACCAGUCCGACGUCUGGGUCAGUGGGAACGAGAAGUUGGCAGGCUGCCCGUGGUUCGGUCUCUGCUGCAUGUGCACGUGCCCAUCCUUUCUAACCAGGCUGUAGGUGAUGGGUGGGCUGCCCAAGGAUGCCUGGCAGGAAAUCUCUACCCUGGGGCCUGCUCCUCUGUCCAGGAGAGUGAAGUCAGCCUGCAGCUGGGACACAGGGUCUGACAGGGUGCGAGAAGGGAACACACGCAUGGCUGGGAGACCCUCUCCCCAGCAAGUUCCCCUUGUUACAAAAUGACAAAUGGGCCUGGAGGCCUGUGAUUGCCACUUCCUCCAGAGAAGCAACCAAGACCCAGAGAGGUUGAGUGACUUGCCCAAGACCACACAGCCUCCAGACCCUGGGCUCUCCUCCCCUAGGCUGUCUUUUCUCAGGGGUGGGUCCAGGGGGUCAUGUCCUAC